CGUGAGUGAUGAAGGUUUCGGAUCGUAAAACUCUGUUGUUAGGGAGGAACAAGUACCGUUCGAACAGGGCGGUACCUUGACGGUACCUAACCAGAAAGCCACGGCUAACUACGUGCCAGCAGCCGCGGUAAUACGUAGGUGGCAAGCGUUGUCCGGAAUUAUUGGGCGUAAAGCGCGCGCAGGCGGUUUCUUAAGUCUGAUGUGAAAGCCCCCGGCUCAACCGGGGAGGGUCAUUGGAAACUGGGGAACUUGAGUGCAGAAGAGGAGAGUGGAAUUCCACGUGUAGCGGUGAAAUGCGUAGAGAUGUGGAGGAACACCAGUGGCGAAGGCGACUCUCUGGUCUGAUACUGACGCUGAGGCGCGAAAGCGUGGGGAGCGAACAGGAUUAGAUACCCUGGUAGUCCACGCCCGUAAACGAUGAGUGCUACGUGUUCGAGGGUUUCCGACCUUUAGUGCUGCAGCUAACGCAUUACGCACUCCGCCUGCGGAGUACGGUCGCAC
rnacentral:rRNA from 1 species